ensembl:snRNA U6 U6 spliceosomal RNA
GUGCUUGCUUGGGCAGCACAUAUACUAAAGUUGGAACAAUACAGAGAAGAUUAGCAUGAACCCCGCGUAAGAAUGACACACAAAUUUGUGAAGCAUUCCAUAUUUUU